rnacentral:rRNA from 1 species
AACGAACGCUGGCGGCAGGCCUAACACAUGCAAGUCGAACGCCGUAGCAAUACGGAGUGGCAGACGGGUGAGUAACGCGUGGGAACAUACCCCUCGGUUCGGAAUAACUCAGGGAAACUUGAGCUAAUACCGGAUACGUCCGAGGUUUUAAUCGGCUUGGAGAAGGAUUUAUCGCCGGAGGAUUGGGCCCGCGUCUGAUUAGCUUGUUGGUGAGGUAAUGGCUCACCAAGGCGACGANCGAGUAGCUGGUCUGAGAGGAUGAUCA